rnacentral:rRNA from 1 species
GACGAACGCUGGCGGCGUGCUUAACACAUGCAAGUCGAACGGAAAGGCCCUGCUUUUGUGGGGUGCUCGAGUGGCGAAAGGGUGAGUAAAACGUGAGUAACCUGCCCUUGACUUUGGGAUAACUUCAGGAAACUGGGGCUAAUACCGGAUAGGAGCUCCUGAUGCAUGGUGGGGGUGGGAAAGUUUCGGAGGUUGGGGAUGGAAUCGCGGCUUAGCAGCGUGUUGGUGGGGUAGUGGCGUACCAAGGCUUUGACGGGUAGCCGGCCUGGGAGGGUGACCGGCCCCAUUGGGCCUGAGAUACGGCCCAUACUCCUACGUGAGGCAGCAGUGGGGAAUCUUGCACAAUGGGCGGAAGCCUGAUGCAGCAACGCCGCGUGCGGGAUGACGGCCUUCGGGUUGUAACCCGCUUUCGCCUGUGACGAAGCGUGAGUGACGGUAAUGGGUAAAGAAGCACCGGCUAACUACGUG